UUUUUAAGUAUAGCGCCAGAGGUUAUAAACUUUAUAACCUGACGAGGAUGAGGAGUAUCGAAAAUUCGGCGGGUGCCUCACCCUAUGACACUAGGGAAAACGAUUAGCAAAACUAGGAAGUGAUUCUUAGGACAAAUCUAAUCAGGUGUUAACU
rnacentral:ncRNA from 2 species